UCCACUGGAGAUGGUUUCAAGAUGUAGAAUCCUUAUAUGUGAAGUAUCCAAAAUGAAGUUGGAACAUCCAUAUUGAAAUUGCUUCAGGUUGUGGAGAGUGUCCAAUAAGUCAAUCUACUUCACAGUUUAAAUUGGAGCAUUACCUUUUAAGACCAAGAUACGAAGAUCCACAAAAGAGUUUUUGCAUCCUUUGGUUCAGUUAUCCCAUUUCUAAAAAUCUAUCCUAAGAAUACAAUCCCAAUAUGGAAAAAGCUUUGUUUAUCAAGACAUUUAUUAAAACAUGUUUAUCAGAA